GACGAACGCUGGCGGCGUGCCUAAUACAUGCAAGUAGAACGCUGAAGAGAGGAGCUUGCUCUUCUUGGAUGAGUUGCGAACGGGUGAGUAACGCGUAGGUAACCUGCCUUGUAGCGGGGGAUAACUAUUGGAAACGAUAGCUAAUACCGCAUAACAAUGGAUGACACAUGUCAUUUAUUUGAAAGGGGCAAUUGCUCCACUACAAGAUGGACCUGCGUUGUAUUAGCUAGUAGGUGAGGUAAUGGCUCACCUAGGCGACGACACAUAGCCGACUUGAGAGGGUGAUCGGCCACACUGGGACUGAGACACGGCCCAGACUCCUACGGGAGGCAGCAGUAGGGAAUCGUCGGCAAUGGGGGCAACCCUGACCGAGCAACGCCGCGUGAGGGAAGAAGGUUUUCGGGUCGUAAAGCUCUGUUGUAAGUCAAGAACGGGUGUGAGAGUGGAAAGUUCACACUGUGACGGUAGCUUACCAGAAAGGGACGGCUAACUACGUG
rnacentral:rRNA from 1 species